AGCGAACGCUGGCGGCAUGCCUAACACAUGCAAGUCGCACGGGGGGGCUUCGGCCUCCCAGUGGCGGACGGGUGUGGAACGCGUAGGGACCUGUUGAGGGUUGGGGGAUAACCGCGGGACACUGCGUCUAAUACCGCAUGACGCCGCGGCGUGACAGCCGUUGCCAAAAGCGAAAGCCGCCAGACGAGGGGCCUGCGUCCGAUUAACUGGUUGGCGGGGUAGCGGCCCAACAAGGCGACGAUCGGUCGCUGGUCGGAGCGGGUGAGCAGCCACACCGGGAAGGAGACACGGAGAGGACUCCGAGGGGAGGCAGUAGUGGGGAAUAUUGGACGAGGGGAGCAAGGAUGAGGCAGCAAUGCGGGGGGGGGGAAGAAGGUUUGGGGAUUGUAAAGCCUUCUCGGCGGGGACGAUGGUGACGGUACCCGAAGAAGAAGCACCGGCUAACUUCGUG
rnacentral:rRNA from 1 species